GGGUUGUGAGGUUAAGCGACUAAGCGUACACGGUGGAUGCCCUGGCAGUCAGAGGCGAUGAAGGACGUGCUAAUCUGCGAUAAGCGUCGGUAAGGUGAUAUGAACCGUUAUAACCGGCGAUUUCCGAAUGGGGAAACCCAGUGUGAUUCGUCACACUAUCAUUAACUGAAUCCAUAGGUUAAUGAGGCGAACCGGGGGAACUGAAACAUCUAAGUACCCCGAGGAAAAGAAAUCAACCGAGAUUCCCCCAGUAGCGGCGAGCGAACGGGGAGCAGCCCAGAGCCUGAAUCAGUGUGUGUGUUAGUGGAAGCGUCUGGAAAGGCGCGCGAUACAGGGUGACAGCCCCGUACACAAAAAUGCACAUGCUGUGAGCUCGAUGAGUAGGGCGGGACACGUGGUAUCCUGUCUGAAUAUGGGGGGACCAUCCUCCAAGGCUAAAUACUCCUGACUGACCGAUAGUGAACCAGUACCGUGAGGGAAAGGCGAAAAGAACCCCGGCGAGGGGAGUGAAAAAGAACCUGAAACCGUGUACGUACAAGCAGUGGGAGCACGCUUAGGCGUGUGACUGCGUACCUUUUGUAUAAUGGGUCAGCGACUUAUAUUCUGUAGCAAGGUUAACCGAAUAGGGGAGCCGAAGGGAAACCGAGUCUUAACUGGGCGUUAAGUUGCAGGGUAUAGACCCGAAACCCGGUGAUCUAGCCAUGGGCAGGUUGAAGGUUGGGUAACACUAACUGGAGGACCGAACCGACUAAUGUUGAAAAAUUAGCGGAUGACUUGUGGCUGGGGGUGAAAGGCCAAUCAAACCGGGAGAUAGCUGGUUCUCCCCGAAAGCUAUUUAGGUAGCGCCUCGUGAAUUCAUCUCCGGGGGUAGAGCACUGUUUCGGCAAGGGGGUCAUCCCGACUUACCAACCCGAUGCAAACUGCGAAUACCGGAGAAUGUUAUCACGGGAGACACACGGCGGGUGCUAACGUCCGUCGUGAAGAGGGAAACAACCCAGACCGCCAGCUAAGGUCCCAAAGUCAUGGUUAAGUGGGAAACGAUGUGGGAAGGCCCAGACAGCCAGGAUGUUGGCUUAGAAGCAGCCAUCAUUUAAAGAAAGCGUAAUAGCUCACUGGUCGAGUCGGCCUGCGCGGAAGAUGUAACGGGGCUAAACCAUGCACCGAAGCUGCGGCAGCGACACUGUGUGUUGUUGGGUAGGGGAGCGUUCUGUAAGCCUGCGAAGGUGUGCUGUGAGGCAUGCUGGAGGUAUCAGAAGUGCGAAUGCUGACAUAAGUAACGAUAAAGCGGGUGAAAAGCCCGCUCGCCGGAAGACCAAGGGUUCCUGUCCAACGUUAAUCGGGGCAGGGUGAGUCGACCCCUAAGGCGAGGCCGAAAGGCGUAGUCGAUGGGAAACAGGUUAAUAUUCCUGUACUUGGUGUUACUGCGAAGGGGGGACGGAGAAGGCUAUGUUGGCCGGGCGACGGUUGUCCCGGUUUAAGCGUGUAGGCUGGUUUUCCAGGCAAAUCCGGAAAAUCAAGGCUGAGGCGUGAUGACGAGGCACUACGGUGCUGAAGCAACAAAUGCCCUGCUUCCAGGAAAAGCCUCUAAGCAUCAGGUAACAUCAAAUCGUACCCCAAACCGACACAGGUGGUCAGGUAGAGAAUACCAAGGCGCUUGAGAGAACUCGGGUGAAGGAACUAGGCAAAAUGGUGCCGUAACUUCGGGAGAAGGCACGCUGAUAUGUAGGUGAAGUCCCUCGCGGAUGGAGCUGAAAUCAGUCGAAGAUACCAGCUGGCUGCAACUGUUUAUUAAAAACACAGCACUGUGCAAACACGAAAGUGGACGUAUACGGUGUGACGCCUGCCCGGUGCCGGAAGGUUAAUUGAUGGGGUCAGCGCAAGCGAAGCUCUUGAUCGAAGCCCCGGUAAACGGCGGCCGUAACUAUAACGGUCCUAAGGUAGCGAAAUUCCUUGUCGGGUAAGUUCCGACCUGCACGAAUGGCGUAAUGAUGGCCAGGCUGUCUCCACCCGAGACUCAGUGAAAUUGAACUCGCUGUGAAGAUGCAGUGUACCCGCGGCAAGACGGAAAGACCCCGUGAACCUUUACUAUAGCUUGACACUGAACAUUGAGCCUUGAUGUGUAGGAUAGGUGGGAGGCUUUGAAGUGUGGACGCCAGUCUGCAUGGAGCCGACCUUGAAAUACCACCCUUUAAUGUUU
rnacentral:rRNA from 1 species